rnacentral:rRNA from 1 species
UACGAAGGGGGCUAGCGUUGCUCGGAAUCACUGGGCGUAAAGGGUGCGUAGGCGGGUCUUUAAGUCAGGGGUGAAAUCCUGGAGCUCAACUCCAGAACUGCCUUUGAUACUGAGGAUCUUGAGUUCGGGAGAGGUGAGUGGAACUGCGAGUGUAGAGGUGAAAUUCGUAGAUAUUCGCAAGAACACCAGUGGCGAAGGCGGCUCACUGGACCAGCACUGACGCUGAUGCGCGAAAGCUAGGGGAGCAAACAGG